rnacentral:rRNA from 1 species
GCUAGUAAUGGCAGGUCAGCAUACUGCCGUGAAUACGUUCCCGGGCCUUGUACACACCGCCCGUCACACCAUGAGAGUUGGGAAUACCCGAAGCCUGUGAGCUAACGUAAGAGGCAGCAGUCGAAGGUAGAAUCAAUGAUUGGGGUGAAGUCGUAACAAGGUAUC